rnacentral:rRNA from 1 species
GCAGAACAUUCUGGAAAGUAUAACCAUAGAGGGUGAUAGUCCCGUAUGCGAAAAACAAACCUUAGCUAGCAGUAUCCUGAGUAGGGCGGGACACGAGGAAUCCUGUCUGAAUCCGGGUCGACCACGAUCCAACCCUAAAUACUAAUACCAGAUCGAUAGUGCACAAGUACCGUGAGGGAAAGGUGAAAAGAACUGAGGUGAUCAGAGUGAAAUAGAACCUGAAACCAUUUGCUUACAAUCAUUCAGAGCCUUAUGUAGCAAUACAGGGUGAUGGACUGCCUUUUGCAUAAUGAGCCUGCGAGUUGUGGUGUCUGGCAAGGUUAAGCAAACGCGAAGCCGUAGCGAAAGCGAGUCUGAAUAGGGCGCUUAGUCAGAUGCUGCAGACCCGAAACGAAGUGAUCUAUCCAUGAGCAAGUUGAAGCUAGUGUAAGAACUAGUGGAGGACUGAACCCAUAGGCGUUGAAAAGCCCCGGGAUGACUUGUGGAUAGGGGUGAAAGGCCAAUCAAACUUCGUGAUAGCUGGUUCUCUCCGAAAUAUAUUUAGGUAUAGCGUUGUGUCGUAAUAUAAGGGGGUAGAGCACUGAAUGGGCUAGGGCAUACACCAAUGUACCAAACCCUAUCAAACUCCGAAUACCUUAUAUGUAAUCACAGCAGUCAGGCGGCGAGUGAUAAAAUCCGUCGUCAAGAGGGAAACAACCCAGACUACCAGCUAAGGUCCCUAAAUCUUACUUAAGUGGAAAACGAUGUGAAGUUACUUAAACAACCAGGAGGUUGGCUUAGAAGCAGCCAUCCUUUAAAGAAAGCGUAAUAGCUCACUGGUCUAGUGAUUUUGCGCGGAAAAUAUAACGGGGCUAAAGUAAGUACCGAAGCUGUAGACUUAGUUUACUAAGUGGUAGGAGAGCGUUCUAUUUG